ensembl:lncRNA
CAGACCUAAACCAGGACUAAACCAGAACUAAACCAGGACUAAACCAGGACUAAACCAGAACUAAACCAGGACUAAACCAGGACUAAACCAGGACUAAACCAGGACUAAACCAGAACUAAACCAGAACUAAACCAGGACUAAACCAGGUCUAAACCAGGACUAAACCAGGACUAAACCAGGACUAAACCAGGACUAAACCAGGAGUAAACCAGGACUAAACCAGGACUAAACCAGGACUAAACCAGAACUAAACCAGGACUAAACCAGGACUAAACCAGGAGUAAACCAGGACUAAACCAGGACUAAACCAGAACUAAACCAGAACUAAACCAGGACUAAACCAGGACUAAACCAGGUCUAAACCAGGACUAAACCAGGUCUAAACCAGGACUAAACCAGGACUAAACCAGAACUAAACCAGGAGUAAACCAGGACUAAACCAGGACUAAACCAGAACUAAACCAGAACUAAACCAGGACUAAACCAGGUCUAAACCAGGACUAAACCAGGACUAAACCAGGACUAAACCAGAACUAAACCAGGAGUAAACCAGGACUAAACCAGGACUAAACCAGGACUAAACCAGAACUAAACCAGAACUAAACCAGGACUAAACCAGGUCUAAACCAGGACUAAACCAGGAC